rnacentral:tRNA from 1 species
ACCUGGCUGGCUCAGUUGGAAGAGUGCGCAACUCUUAAUCUCAGGGUCAUGAGUUCGAGCCCCAUGCUGGGUG